rnacentral:rRNA from 1 species
GAUGAACGCUGGCGGCGUGCCUAAUACAUGCAAGUCGAGCGAACAGACGAGGAGCUUGCUCCUCUGACGUUAGCGGCGGACGGGUGAGUAACACGUGGAUAACCUACCUAUAAGACUGGGAUAACUUCGGGAAACCGGAGCUAAUACCGGAUAAUAUAUUGAACCGCAUGGUUCAAUAGUGAAAGACGGUUUUGCUGUCACUUAUAGAUGGAUCCGCGCCGCAUUAGCUAGUUUGUAAGGUAACGGCUUACCAAGGCAACGAUGCGUAGCCGACCUGAGAGGGUGAUCGGCCACACUGGAACUGAGACACGGUCCAGACUCCUACGGGAGGCAGCAGUAGGGAAUCUUCCGCAAUGGGCGAAAGCCUGACGGAGCAACGCCGCGUGAGUGAUGAAGGUCUUCGGAUCGUAAAACUCUGUUAUGAGGGAAGAACAAAUGUGUAAGUAACUAUGCACGUCUUGACGGUACCUAAUCAGAAAGCCACGGCUAACUACGUG